GGGCAAUCUGGCUGCAGUAUCCACCACCCCAGUGGAUUCUCAGCUGAUCUGGCUAGGCGGUGUCAGCUUCCUCCCUCACCGCUCCACUCGCAUUCCUCUGGAAGCUGCUAGCUAGGUCAAAGAGAAUGACCUUCCUCCAAUAGAGGAGGGCCUCUCCUGUCUUAGGUCAUGGGUACAGGAGCAGCUGUGCUCCCCUGCUAAGACCUCCAAACAAGCUCAAAUGUAGAGGUUUUAAUGUAACCUUCGGUAGCCCUGGUAGAAGUGAUUUUUUCCAACCUUGUU
rnacentral:snRNA from 1 species